GAUGAACGCUGGCGGCGUGCUUAACACAUGCAAGUCGAACGGAAAGGCCGUGCUUUUGUGGGGUUCUCGCGGGGCGAACGGGUGAGUAACAUGUGAGUAUCCUUCCCUGGACUUUGGGAUAACUUCAGAAAACUGGGGCUAAUACCUAAUAGGAGCUCCUGCUGGAUGGUGGGCGUUGGAAAUUAUCGGCGGAGGGGGAUGGAUUGGGGGGUUAUGAGCUUGUUGGUUGGGUAGUUGCCUACCAAGGCAUUGACAGCUAGGCGGCAUGAGAGCGUGAACGGCGACAUUGGGACUGCGAGAGGGAGCAGAGUCCUACGGUGGGCAGUAGUGGGGAACAUUACACAGUGAGCGGAAGUGUGAUGAAGAAGCGCUGCGUGCGGAAUGACGGCCUUCGGGUUGUAAACCGCUUUAGGCUGAGACGAAGCGUGAGUGACGGUAAUGGGUGAAGAAGCACCGGCUAACUACGUG
rnacentral:rRNA from 1 species